CAGCCGCCGCGGUAAAACGUAGGGCGCGAGCGUUGUCCGGAAUUAUUGGGCGUAAAGAGCUCGUAGGCGGCUGGUCGCGUCUGUCGUGAAAUCCCCUGGCUUAACUGGGGGCUUGCGGUGGGUACGGGCCGGCUUGAGUGCGGUAGGGGAGACUGGAACUCCUGGUGUAGCGGUGGAAUGCGCAGAUAUCAGGAAGAACACCGGUGGCGAAGGCGGGUCUCUGGGCCGUUACUGACGCUGAGGAGCGAAAGCGUGGGGAGCGAACAGGAUUAGAUACCCGCGUAGUCCCUGUCUCUUAUAC
rnacentral:rRNA from 1 species